GAUGAACGCUGGCGGCGUGCCUAAUACAUGCAAGUCGAGCGAACAGACGAGGAGCUUGCUCCUCUGACGUUAGCGGCGGACGGGUGAGUAACACGUGGAUAACCUACCUAUAAGACUGGGAUAACUUCGGGAAACCGGAGCUAAUACCGGAUAAUAUAUUGAACCGCAUGGUUCAAUAGUGAAAGACGGUUUUGCUGUCACUUAUAGAUGGAUCCGCGCCGCAUUAGCUAGUUGGUAAGGUAACGGCUUACCAAGGCAACGAUGCGUAGCCGACCUGAGAGGGGGGUCGGCCACCCUGGAACUGAGACACGGUCCAGACUCCUACGGGAGGCAGCAGUAGGGAAUCGUCCGCAAUGGGCGAAAGCCUGACGGAGCAACGCCGCGUGAGUGAUGAAGGUCUUCGGAUCGUAAAACUCUGUUAUUAGGGAAGAACAAAUGUGUAAGUAACUAUGCACGUCUUGACGGUACCUAAUCAGAAAGCCACGGCUAACUACGUG
rnacentral:rRNA from 1 species